GGGACACGGAUCUGAAAUCAUACUGUAUAUGGCCAAGCAAAGUUGCUGUACCCGACUGAGUCUUCUGCUGCAAGAUGUCUGAAAAUGCUUCAGGGAUGUCAAUGAAUGGAGAACUUCUUUCCCACGUGCAAAGCUUGGUCCAGCCUAGAUCUUCUCCAGCAUUCUUUUGACUUAAGUGCUGUUUGACCCAUAGCAUCUCUGAACUAAACCUCAAAAAUAGUUCCAGCCACAAUUUCCACAGCGUUCAAGCAACCAGCCAAUAGACUGUAAGCUCCGUGUGGACAGGGGAUUUUUUUCCCUUGGUUUCUGCUAUACCUCCUGAGCCUAGAACAGGGCCUGGCAUGUAACUGGAAA